AAUUCCCAGAUGGAAUCAAUCCUGUUACAAAAGAGAGGGGUGGACCUAGAGGCCCUGAACCUACACGUUUCGGAGACUGGGAGAGAAAAGGACGUUGUAUAGAUUUUUAAUGUAUAAACAUAAGAAACAGGUAUCAGCAGAAUUUUGGACAAGUAAAAUUAAAGAACACAGAAUGAAGAUUCAGAAGCAAUGAAUGAAUUAUGGAAGGUAGAUCUUGAUCUUGCAGUCAAACAAAUGGAUAUUGUGUAAAUCAUUUUUAGAAACAAGGUGUAAGACUGGUCCUGCAGCCUCUAACAGUCUUUUUUAUUACUACAAACUUUCUUUAAAUCUGCCAUGUGAUGUUUAUAUGAUCAAUGUUUUCUUUUUCUCUCUGUAAAUUCUGCAUCCGUUACGGAGCUGGACGUUUUGUUCUAUAACUUUCUCCUUUCACUUCCUAAAUAAAAAGAUCAUUUCAUAUUCAGUAAAUUAAACACAUGGCUUUCAAA